CAUGGAUGGAAGAUGGGGAUAUCACCCUCCUGCAUACACUGAAAAAAGAUUUUAUUUUUAUUCCAUUUGUUGAAUUCAUUGAUAUUUUCCUGUCCUAGCAACAUAUCAUCCAAAAUCAAGCGACCUCAAGAUAAUACUUGUCUCACACACGUAUUUUAGAACUAACUUUCAGGACAUCUUCUAAAAUUAUUCUUGCUGGCAAAACAGGUGAAUGGUUAUCCACUAAGCGGCUAAAGUGUACAUUUACAGAAACUAAAAGUGAAG